rnacentral:tRNA from 1 species
GCCUGGUUGGUCUAGUGGAAAAGACGCUGCGGCGGCGGUUCUAAGCCAUCCCGGUUCUGAACCGUGUGGUGGCCUGCCUGUCGAGAGAACCCUGGUUCGAACCCAGGACCGGGCA